GGGUUCUUAGCUCAGUUGGUAGAGCAGCGGACUCUUAAUCCGUAGGUCGAGUGUUCGAGCCACUCAGGACCCA
rfam:Verminephrobacter eiseniae EF01-2, complete genome.